rnacentral:tRNA from 1 species
GGAAGGGUGUCCGAGCGGUUGAAGGAGGCGGUCUUGAAAACCGUUAACCUCGUGAGGGGUUCAUGGGUUCGAAUCCCAUCCCUUCCGCCA